GUCCAUUAUCUACAACGGUUUCACCUGAUUCUGGUUUAGGCGGAGCAUCCUCUGGAACUGAUGUGGAGUCUGAGGUAGCUUCGGGCAGAGAUGGAUCGGGUACUGGUGCACCAGUGGCUUCAGGCUGUUGUGUCUGUGUAGCACUCUCUGGUACUGUUGUGGCAGUAGGAGGUGCUUCAAUUGCCAAUGGCUUGCCUGGCUGUUGUGAAUUCUGAGCAGCCGAACCUGGUUUUUUCUGGAUGGUGAUAGGAGGAGCAUUAAGAGAUGCCAUCCCAGGAGGUAAGAUUUCAAUAGGUGGCUUCUUCCCUGCAUCGGCCAAACUCGUAAGUUUAGGCUCCUCAAGAGAAGCAAGAAAUGCAGCUGUAGCAUCUGUCUUCUGUGAUGGAGUCGGCUCAAUCUCUCUCUGCAGCAUUUGGUUCCAGGACUGAACCAAGUUCCUCAAAGUUGGACGACCUUGUGCCUGCAAGUAACAAAGUCAGACUACAAGUACUAAAAUUGAGUGAUCAACUAGUUGUGUACAUAACUAAUCAUACAUGAGCAUGAAGCACAGCCUCCGCCAGCAUUCCAGUAUCCUGCCAUGCUUUUUCCAUUAGCACAUUGUCUCCCAAAACUUGCAUUCAACAUGUAAAAUUUUCAAACAGGAAAAGUUCAAAUAGAAAAGAAAACAACUCACAAGUGUCAUAUUUCACAAUCACAAUACAAGACACCUUAGUACAUCAAUAAUCUACAAAAAUCGGUAGAAUUACACUUCAGGAGUCUAGAUUUGUUACAAAAUAAUAUAUUAGACUUCCUACAUAUCCAGAAUGAUUUCUUUGCAAAUGAAAUACUUGAAUCGUAAAUUAAAUUCAUUUUUCAAGUGCACAUGUCAUUGUCAACAGUGUGUGGUGGGUAUUACCAAUCAUAAGAAGAAGGGGUCAAUAGCAGGAGGUACUGUAGUGGGACUUGGGUCAUUAGUUGUGGGUACUAUACUUGGACUUGGGGCAUUAGUUGCGGGUACUGUAGUUGUAUUUGGGGCAUUGGCCUCUGGAGCCUCUACUACUGGUGACGGGACCUCAGGUGGUGAUGGGUUGCUCGCAGGCUCUGCUUGAACGGUUUCCCCAUUAACUGUUGGAGUUCCAUCACUUGCUGAUGCAGGGGUAGGAUGUCCAUUAUCUACAACGGUUUCACCUGAUUCUGGUUUAGGCGGAGCAUCCUCUGGAACUGAUGUGGAGUCUGAGGUAGCUUCGGGCAGAGAUGGAUCGGGUACUGGUGCACCAGUGGCUUCAGGCUGUUGUGUCUGUGUAGCACUCUCUGGUACUGUUGUGGCAGUAGGAGGUGCUUCAAUUGCCAAUGGCUUGCCUGGCUGUUGUGAAUUCUGAGCAGCCGAACCUGGUUUUUUCUGGAUGGUG
rnacentral:lncRNA from 1 species